GAUGAACGCUGGCGGCGUGCCUAAUACAUGCAAGUCGAGCGAACGGACGAGAAGCUUGCUUCUCUGAUGUUAGCGGCGGACGGGUGAGUAACACGUGGAUAACCUACCUAUAAGACUGGGAUAACUUCGGGAAACCGUAGCUAUUACCGGAUAAUAUUUUGAACCGCAUGGUUCAAAAGUGAAAGACGGUCUUGCUGUCACUUAUAGAUGGAUCCGCGCUGCAUUAGCUAGUUGGUAAGGUAACGGCUUACCAAGGCAACGAUGCAUAGCCGACCUGAGAGGGUGAUCGGCCACACUGGAACUGAGACACGGUCCAGACUCCUACGGGAGGCAGCAGUAGGGAAUCUUCCGCAAUGGGCGAAAGCCUGACGGAGCAACGCCGCGUGAGUGAUGAAGGUCUUCGGAUCGUAAAACUCUGUUAUUAGGGAAGAACAUAUGUGUAAGUAACUGUGCACAUCUUGACGGUACCUAAUCAGAAAGCCACGGCUAACUACGUG
rnacentral:rRNA from 1 species